AAUUAAAUUAAAUUAAAUCAAAUCAAAUCAAAUUAAUAAAUAAUAAAAGAUAAAUAAAUAAAUAACCCCCAGUUAAGAACCAGGAACAGAAAAAUAAUGCAGAGAGAGGGGGAGAAAGCCACCUACGCAGCCAAAGACAAGCUCCAAGCAAAACACACACACUUUUCUCGUUGCCCUGCUUGAUUUUCCUUCUCCUGCUUUAUAAAACUCCCUUGAUAUUAUCACCACCGUCGGAUAAAUCCUCGAGUAGUUGCUCUAGGAGAGAGAGCGGAGCUGGAUGGACACCAAGAUUUGAUCCGAUUUUCAGAUACUGGGGUGUUAAUUCAGCCCAGGAUCUUUAUCUCACGACAUACAGAACAUCCAUCCAUCCAUCCAUCCAUCCAUACAUGCAUGAUUGCCUGAAGCUGGCUCAAAAAGAAGAAAGAGCUACUAAAAAAAAAAAAAAAAAAAUAGAAAAAGAAAAAGGAAAAGG
rnacentral:sRNA from 1 species